rnacentral:RNase_P_RNA from 1 species
UGGUCCGGAUGGUCGCGUCAGAUGUAUUUCUGCCGAGGAAAGUCCGGGCUGCAACAGGACAAGACGCCGGUUAACGGCCGGCAGGGGCGACCCUGGGAAAGUGCCACAGAGAAUAACCGCCAGCCGUUUCUUAGUAAGCCGCUGGUAAGGGUGAAAAGGUGUGGUAAGAGCGCACCGCCCGGACUGGUAACAGGCCGGGGCAUAGGUAAACCCCGUCUGCAGCAAGGCCAAAUAGGGAAGCGCCAAGCGUGGUCCACGUUUGCUUCCGGGUAGGCUGCUCGAGCCUGUCAGCAAUGGCAGGCCUAGAUGAAUGACCAUUACCCGGAUCGGUAACGAUCCGGAGACAAAACCCGGCUUACAGGG